rnacentral:rRNA from 1 species
UACGUAGGGCGCAAGCGUUAUCCGGAAUUAUUGGGCGUAAAGGGCUCGUAGGCGGUCUGUCGCGUCGGGAGUGAAAACUCAGGGCUUAACCCUGAGCCUGCUUCCGAUACGGGCAGACUAGAGGUAUGCAGGGGAGAACGGAAUUCCUGGUGUAGCGGUGGAAUGCGUAGAGAUCCGGAAGAACACCGGUGGCGAAGGCGGUCUGCUGGGCAGUAGCUGACACUGAGGCGCGACAGCGUGGGGAGCAAACAGG